GUAAAUACCAUCUUUCCAAGUAAACAAGGAACCUGGGGCAGCCGGGGAGAGGGGAGGGGUCCAAGUGGCGCAGGCUUCGCCCCCGGGAAUCUGAAUUAACUAAAGCGGACCUUCGGCGCGCUUGAGUGCCGCCAAACGGGGCGGUAGAGGCGGUGGAAUUCCGAGGCCUCGGGAGCUGAGAAACAGUGCACACCCAGGGCUUUGGUAGCUUCAUCUGGGAGAUCUGUCAAAUGCCAGCGUGAGGGUGGGAAAAAUAACCACGGAGGGUGUGGUCUCCCAGGACACCCCAUGAUCUGAAAACAUCAAGUAGGAAAGGACCCAAGAAAACCGUUCUAGAGAGCUGGCAGGCAGUGAGCCUCCUUCCUACCAUAUUUGGGUGGGAAUCACUCAACUUUGUCCUUGUUCUCUUUGUUUACCCAGGACACCUCUUGAAUUCCACUUUGGGAUUAUUCUAGUCUGAGUGUAGAGUGAAAUUCACCACCCUGUAUUUGGGGGUGGGGGCGGGGAAGACUGUAAGCAGUAGCCAGAAGGCUAAAUGGUGAGGCGUUGGGUUUUAAGAGGAAAUUUUGUUACAUGACUAAGAACAGACAGGCCACACAUUCAAAUCCUAUGCACAGAUUUUUAAAAAUCCAGAGGACCAAGUUGCACCCCAGGCAAGUUAAACCAGAAUCUCUGGGGAUGGGGCUGAUUAUAAAGAUUAUAGGAUUAUUUUGACUGCUCCACUUGUAACCAGUUUGAGAACUACAGAACCUCAGAUCUAUAUGGUACCAAAGUAAAGAUCCAUCCAGCCCAGCACGUUGCUGUCAAAAACACUAAGGGACAUUGAUGGAAAGGUAAUCAUCAACUUUUGUGACCUUGAUGAACAUCUAGACACUGGCUUCCAAACUUUCAGCUGAGCUCCACACUUGCAUAACCAACUACUUAACCAAGACUACCACUGGGAGUCGUCAGAUCCAUCUCAAAUACAUCCUUUUGAAACUACUGACCAGUCCUCACUUAUUCAGCUGCAGAAAUCUUGGAGUUCAAUCUAUUGAGCCAAAUCAAGAUAUUGGAUUGGUGGGAGGAAACUGGGAGGCGAUGACAUGUUUAUGGGAAUGAUCGUGGUGGUGGUUUCACAGGUGUGUACUUCUCUCCAAACAUAUCAAGUUACAUAUAUUGAAUAUGCA